rnacentral:tRNA from 1 species
CAAGGAAUAGUUUAAUAACAGGAGAAUUUUAGCUUUGGGAGUUAGUGGUAGGGGUUAGAUUCCCCUUUCUUUGA